GUGUGGGGCUAACAGGGAGGAGAGAACCGGUGAAUUCUUUAUCUUUCCUGGAAUAUAGUGAAGGAUUCUUUCUUGUAAAAUGAUCUCCUAGGACAUUGAAUGUGAAGGAUUUGCAGACAGGAAAUUCAAACCAAACAGCGCGUCAAGAUCUGACGGUCACUUGAUUUAUUAGCAUCUGACUUACAUCAUUGGCUUAUUUGGACGGAAAAAAGGGAAUUGAAUAGGGAAGAUUUUCAUGUUAGAAGUUCAGACUGAAGCGCCCAAUACGUCAGGACCGGAAUGUCAUUGGAUUUAGAUUAUGGAAAGCAAGAGCACUGUUCACAGUGAGGAGAAAACAUACACAUGUUCUGUGUGUGGUCGAAGAUUCAUCCGAUCAUCUGGCCUGUCAAGACACAAAGUCUCUCACAUUGAGGCAAAACUAUGGAAAUGUCAGGACUGUGGGAAGGGAUUCAGUUACCCAUCUGAGCUGGAAGCUCAUCGACGAAGUCACACUGGGGAGAGACCAUUUAUCUGCUCUAAAUGUGGGAAGGGAUUCAUUCAGUCAUCUCACCUGCUUACACAUCAACGGGUUCAUACUGAUGAGAGACCUUUUAAAUGCUCUGACUGUGGGAAACAUUAUAAAAGUUUCAAGGAAUUGAUGUCCCAUCAAGGCAUUCAUACUGACAAGAAAUCAUUCAGGUGUUCUCACUGUGGAACUGGGUUCAGACGAUCAUCUCAACUCACUGUACACCAGCGCAUUCACACUGGAGAGAGGCCAUUCACCUGCUCUGAGUGUGGGAAAGGAUUCAUUCAGAAUCCCAACAGUGUGAAAACCGGUCCUUCAACCCAACAAGUCCACACCAACCCACUGAAGAGUAACCCAGAACAACUCCCCUACCCUAAUAUUCUAUAUUUACCCCUGACUAACGCACCCAAUCUACACAUCCCUGAACACCAUGGGCAAUUUAGCAUGGCCAUUCACCUAACCUGCACAUUUUUGGAUUGUUGGAGGAAAUCAGAACACCUGGAGAAAACCCACGCAGACACAGGAAGAAUGUACAAACUCUACACAGUUACCCGAGGCUGGAAUCGAACCCAGGUUCAUAGUGCUGUGAGGCAGCAGUGGUAACCACUGAGCCACCAUGUCAUCCUAAAUCUCCUGCAAAUCAUUCAUAUAAAUUACAAACAACAGUGGACCCAGCAUGGAUGCCUGUGGAACACCCUGCUCACAGGCCUCCAGUCUGAAAAACAAUCUACUACUACCACCUUCUGUAUCUUACUGCCAAUGUAAUUUUGUAUCCAAUUGGCAAGCUCUUCUUGAAACUAUCUUUACUAAGCAGUCUACCAUGUGAACCCUUGUAAGUCUGUGUAGGCAGUGUUGAAUAUGAGAAGCUCAUGAAGCUCCUUUGUCACCAAGAUUGAAAUGAUCUGAUUAGUUGCCUUUGCUGUUUCUCCUUCUCUUGCCCAACAGGCCAAACUCUGAAAUUCCUCCUUUCCUAAGCCCUAAGCUCUCAUCUUUCUCCAGUAUCUCUUCUGUUUCCAGUCAUGUGUCGACUAUUCACAAUUAACUGCUGACUAUCUAAAUUUCUCAUGCCAGAUUUGUACCUGCCACACAGUGUAUUUAAAUUCUCAUAUUCAGCAAAAGAACCGUGCGUUGACUCUUAUAGACAAUAUUAUUUGUUUAUUGAACAUAACUAAUAUUAGAACAAUAUAGUAUAAAAAAGAAGAAAUUAAAUCAUAUCCUGUCCUGCGAGAGCUUGGCCAGGCUCCACAUGGUGAUUUCUUCUUGCGAUGGUCUUGGAGGUGUCUUUUCUUUCGGUGGUUAUUCUCAAGUUACCAUUCUCCAGUUACUGCUCGAGUUCCUGCUACUGAGGGUGAUUUUGCAGUGAUUCCUUUACUCCAGUUUUCAUGGCCUUUUGGGAGAGUCUUGACUAUCUUCCAAUGGAUCGAUCAGGUUCAAUCACUCAUGUAUUGGCACACUGAUGGCAGGGUGGUCCUUAAGUAUCCAUUCCUGGCAGUGCUAGGUGCAUGUAGCCCCCUCCAAAUCAGGGUGCGAGGUGCCUCCGAAUCUGAUACACACCUUAAUGUUUCCGAUUGUCCCCAAGACGACAUUCCAUUGUCCCAUUCAAAGCCAAAUUCAGGUGUGGAUUAUAGGGUCUGCAGCUACCAGUUUCCUUGCAAAUUCUCUGUGGGGAGCUGCAGCCUGUCUGGAUUCUGCAGCAUGUUGGUUGACACAAUCACUUUAGUUAAGGCUAGCUUCAUUUCCCAGCAUGCUUUAGUCCUUGUCCACUUUUUCAAAUUCAUCAUAAAUUUAUCACUGUCCAGCCACAGUGACUAAAGCUGUCUUUGCAAAAACAUAGUAAUGAAGAUGUGGAAAUCUGAAAUAAAAAACUAAAAAUGAUGGAGAAACACAAAAGGUUUGGCAGCAUUGUGGGGAAAGAAUCAAUGUUAUCAUUUUGAGUUCAGUAUGACUGUUCUGAAGUCGAAUUGGACUUGGUUCUCUUUUUUUCAGACCUGCUGAUUUUUUCCAGUAUUUUAUCUCUAUUUACUGAUAUCCUUAAAGUUAUGAUUAGUUUAAGAACUAAUCUCUUCAUUUUCUCACUGUCAUCACCCAUCCUAAAAAAAUCCUGAUUCAAGUCUUUACAAAUUACCAUCCUCUCUCUAAACUCCCUUUC